CAUUUGCCAGGGAUGUUUUCACUGAUCAAGAACGAAAGUUAGGGGAUCGAAGACGAUCAGAUACCGUCGUAGUCUUAACCAUAAACCAUGCCGACUAGGGAUCGGCGGAAGUCCUUUUUGACUCCGUCGGCACCUUGAGGGAAACUAUAGUCUUUGGGUUCCGGGGGGAGUAUGGUCGCAAGGCUGAAACUUAAAGGAAUUGACGGAAGGGCACCACCAGGAGUGGAGCCUGCGGCUUAAUUUGACUCAACACGGGGAAACUUACCAGGUCCAGACAUUGUGAGGAUUGACAGAUUGAGAGCUCUUUCUUGAUUCGAUGGGUGGUGGUGCAUGGCCGUUCUUAGUUGGUGGAGUGAUUUGUCUGGUUAAUUCCGUUAACGAACGAGACCUUAGCCUAUUAAAUAGUGGCGCGAACACCUCGUUGGCGAGCACUUUUUAGAGGGACAACUUGUCUUCAACAAGUGGAAGUUUGAGGCAAUAACAGGUCUGUGAUGCCCUUAGAUGUUUUGGGCCGCACGCGCGCUACACUGAUGCACUCAACGAGUCUCUACCUUGACCGAAAGGUCCGGGAAACCUUUUGAACUUGCAUCGUGAUGGGGAUAGAUUAUUGCAACUAUUAAUCUUCAACGAGGAAUUCCUAGUAAGCGCAUGUCAUCAGCGUGCGUUGAUUAC
rnacentral:rRNA from 1 species